rnacentral:rRNA from 1 species
AUUGAACGCUGGCGGCAUGCUUUACACAUGCAAGUCGAACGGUAACAGGUUAAGCUGACGAGUGGCGAACGGGUGAGUAAUGCAUCGGAACGUGCCCGAUCGUGGGGGAUAACGCAGCGAAAGCUGCGCUAAUACCGCAUACGAUCUGAGGAUGAAAGCGGGGGACCGUAAGGCCUCGCGCGAUCGGAGCGGCCGAUGUCAGAUUAGGUAGUUGGUGGGGUAAAGGCCCACCAAGCCGACGAUCUGUAGCUGGUCUGAGAGGACGACCAGCCACACUGGGACUGAGACACGGCCCAGACUCCUACGGGAGGCAGCAGUGGGGAAUUUUGGACAAUGGGCGAAAGCCUGAUCCAGCAAUGCCGCGUGCAGGAAGAAGGCCUUCGGGUUGUAAACUGCUUUUGUACAGAACGAAAAGGUUUCUACUAAUACUAGGAGCUCAUGACGGUACUGUAAGAAUAAGCACCGGCUAACUACGUGCCAGCAGCCGCGGUAA